UACAGAGGGGGCAAGCGUUGUUCGGAAUUACUGGGCGUAAAGGGCGCGUAGGCGGCCAUCUAAGUCAGACGUGAAAUCCCCCGGCUUAACCUGGGAACUGCGUCUGAUACUGGACGGCUUGAGUUUGGGAGAGGGAUGCAGAAUUCCAGGUGUAGCGGUGAAAUGCGUAGAUAUCUGGAGGAAUACCGGUGGCGAAGGCGGCAUCCUGGACCAACACUGACGCUGAGGCGCGAAAGCUAGGGGAGCAAACGGG
rnacentral:rRNA from 1 species